AUCCCACAGUACCAGACAAUCUCGAAUUAUAUGAUUUUACAUAUAAUGUUGCAAUGUCACUGAUCUUUGUGGGACUCGUGUUGGUCAUUCUGUCUGUAAUUGCAUGUGCCGGUGCCUGUAAAUCAUUGCCGCUGUUGAUGCUGUUUAAUGUGUUGAUAUUGCCUAUGAUAAUAGCAGAAAUUACAGUCGCUAGUUUAGUAAUACCAGCAUCAUCACCAAUUCAUGACGCCAGUAGAAAUGAUCUGUUAAACAACUUAAAACAUUAUAAUGUGAAUGGUUCUGACGAUUUCUCUGCCACGAUGAAUAUACUGAUGCUUGGGUUGGACUGUUGUGGAAUAAAUGAACAGGACGAUUUUGAUGAUGUAACUAUGAUUUAUAGAGGGGUUAACGUGAAGAUACCACCAGCAUGUUGUAAGAUCGCACCUGGGGGAAAAACCUUACUAAACUGUGAAAACAAUGCAACUAAUUCUAAUUCUCAGACUGAGGUAGGUAAUUUGAAGAAAAGAAACAACAUAUCAUACGAGGCAAGCGUUACGUUAUUGAAUGUCUGUAAUAUAUUGGUUGGUGUAGUAC